GGUGGCGAUUAUACUGGUGUUGUCCCACCUGUUCCCAUUCCGAACACAGCAGUGAAAUACACCAAGGCCGAUGAUAUUCGGGUUUCCCGGAGAAAGUAGGUAGUCGCCACCA
rnacentral:rRNA from 5 species